rnacentral:rRNA from 1 species
UACGAAGGGGGCUAGCGUUGUUCGGAAUUACUGGGCGUAAAGCGCGCGCAGGCGGUCUUCCAAGUCAGUGGUGAAAGCCCGGAGCUCAACUCCGGAACUGCCAUUGAAACUGUAAGACUUGAGGAUGAGAGAGGUGAGUGGAAUUCCCAGUGUAGAGGUGAAAUUCGUAGAUAUUGGGAAGAACACCGGUGGCGAAGGCGGCUCACUGGACGACUACUGACGCUGAGACGCGAAAGCGUGGGGAGCAAACAGG